UAUGGUUUAUCGACUUGGGAGAAAUAAUCUAUAUCGAAGAGUGCUUCGCCCUGCAACAUCAAUGCAUCUCUGUUCUUCUUCUUCGACUGCUGUCGUUGUCGCACCUGUCGCACAAUUUAUUUUUCGCCCAAGAAGCAAAAAAGCCCAAAACAAGCAAUGCAAUAACCACCGAAAAAAAUAUAAAAUAAAAAAAAGGAACAGGCCAGCAAAAAGCAGUUGCUUGAUGUGCAGCGCAUAUCCGUUUGUCUUUAGCUUCCUUUUGGUAAUGACGACAGAGCCGAAAGAAGCAGCUGCCGUCCCAAAAACAUGGCCAAAAGAGACAACAGCAGCGAAAUGGUAGUGGUUAUGGUCCUGAUCCCGAGAUACUUUCGAUGUAUCUGUAUCUGCAGUCUGCAAAAGACGAAGACGAUGACGCUUCCCAACAGAAUCGCGAGCUUGGGCUUAUGCUCCUUUGCGGUCGUAAAGUUUAUCUGCCCUCCUGGACGAAACCAAAAGGAAAACGAUUGCCAAAAAAUAAAUAUAUUGUAAAGUCUCCUUCUGUUGGUAUUGUUUUCUUUCCGUUUGAGUUUCGGUGAGAAAUAAGAAAAGGUUCACAGCCCUUUUCAGCAGUUGUAGAUCAAUGUCACAUUUAUGUUUUGAUU